CCUACGGGUGGCUGCAGUGGGGAAUCUUAGACAAUGGGGGAAACCCUGAUCUAGCCAUGCCGCGUGGACGAUGAAGGCCCUAGGGUUGUAAAGUCCUUUCAGCUGGGAAGAUAAUGACGGUACCAGCAGAAGAAGCCCCGGCUAACUCCGUGCCAGCAGCCGCGGUAAUACGGAGGGGGCUAGCGUUGUUCGGAAUUACUGGGCGUAAAGCGCACGUAGGCGGAUCAGCAAGUUAGGGGUGAAAUCCCGGGGCUCAACCCCGGAACUGCCUUUAAAACUGUUGGUCUUGAGUUCGAGAGAGGUGAGUGGAAUUCCGAGUGUAGAGGUGAAAUUCGUAGAUAUUCGGAGGAACACCAGUGGCGAAGGCGGCUCACUGGCUCGAUACUGACGCUGAGGUGCGAAAGCGUGGGGAGCAAACAGGCUUAGAUACCCUAGUAGUC
rnacentral:rRNA from 1 species